AAGACAAUACUUUCAGGGAUCAUUUCUACAGUUCAUUACUAGAGAUGUUUCUUUGACUAUGUAGAGCAGAGGUCCCAACCCCAGGG
rnacentral:snoRNA from 1 species